ACGCACGCUGGCGGCCUGCCUCACACCUUCAAGUCGAACGAGACCUUCGGGUCUAGUGGCGCACGGGUGCGUCACGCGUGGGAACCUGCCCUUAGGUUCGGAAUAACUCCCCGAAAGGGGUGCUAAUACCGGAUAAUGUCUUCGGACCAAAGAUUUAUCGCCUUUGGAUGGGCCCGCGUUGGAUUAGCUAGUUGGUAGGGUAAAAGCCUACCAAGGCGACGAUCCAUAGCUGGUCUGAGAGGAUGAUCAGCCACACUGGGACUGAGACACGGCCCAGACUCCUACGGGAGGCAGCAGUGGGGAAUAUUGGACAAUGGGCGAAAGCCUGAUCCAGCAAUGCCGCGUGAGUGAUGAAGGCCUUAGGGUUGUAAAGCUCUUUUACCCGGGAUGAUAAUGACAGUACCGGGAGAAUAAGCUCCGGCUAACUCCGUG
rnacentral:rRNA from 1 species